GAGGAUAUAGCUCACAUGGUAGAGCAUGUGCUUAGCAUGCAUAGGGUCUUGGGUUCAAUCCCCAGUACCUCCU
rnacentral:tRNA from 1 species